GACGAACGCUGGCGGCGUGCUUAACACAUGCAAGUCGAACGAGAAUCUGUGGAAAGAGGAUUCGUCCAAUUGAAGCAGAGGACAGUGGCGGACGGGUGAGUAACGCGUGAGGAACCUGCCUUUCAGAGGGGGACAACAGUUGGAAACGACUGCUAAUACCGCAUAACAUAUAGAUGUCGCAUGGCAUUUAUAUCAAAGAUUUAUCGCUGAAAGAUGGCCUCGCGUCUGAUUAGCUAGUUGGUGAGGUAACGGCCCACCAAGGCGACGAUCAGUAGCCGGACUGAGAGGUUGAACGGCCACAUUGGGACUGAGAUACGGCCCAGACUCCUACGGGAGGCAGCAGUGGGGAAUAUUGGGCAAUGGGCGCAAGCCUGACCCAGCAACGCCGCGUGAAGGAAGAAGGCUUUCGGGUUGUAAACUUCUUUUGUCUAGGGACGAGUAGAAGACGGUACCUGACGAAUAAGCCACGGCUAACUACGUG
rnacentral:rRNA from 1 species